rnacentral:lncRNA from 1 species
AGUGCGCAGGCGUCAGACGCUCAGGGCCUGCGAGAGCGAGCUGAGUGGUCCCAGGGUCUACCCCUGGCAGGAGAGAGGGUGGGACCCGCCGGCCAGGCAGGUGCGGGGGAGGAGCUGGGGCCGGUGCGGGGACCCGCCGGAACCUCGGAUUUGCAGAGGACCCUGUGUGUGCCCUCCCAGGCCCUUGGGGUGUGUGUGACAAUGGGAGAUGCCAGGUGGACUGAGAGUCUUUCCGUGGCCGGGUGUGUAUGGUUGUGUUUCUGCCUGUGUGUGAUUCUUCCUGCUGUGGGGUGUGAGGUGAUUUGUACUUUAAGCUGCGUAGUAAUGGGAUUUUAUAACUGUGUAGAAUCGUCUAACAGAGUAAGACGAUUUUACACAGAUCUCUAUUGUGGUUUGCUUAUGAAGGGUAUCUGUAUGUAUAUCUGCUUUUUUGUGUGUGGCCGUAAUUGAGUAACUGGUGAUCUGUGUUAUAUAAACGUGCUUUCUUUGUGCUUGUAUUUCAGUGUCUGUAAGGGUGCCAAGAGCAAAUGAGCUGUGUGUGAUCGUGUGUGACAGUGAAAAUACUAUGGCCAAGUUAUUUCUUCCUUAAAUAGUAAUGUAAUAAUCUGGAAAAGAUAAUCAAUUUAUCUGACAAGUAAUUUAGACAUCAUUUUUCUAUUGGAUCAAAUAUAUGUGUUAUCGGGAAGAAUCCAAAAUUAACGUAGUUUUUUCUUUGUUUUUAGAAAGAUUAUUUCAAAACCAGUCCUAGGGUAACUGCCUUUUCCUCUGCCACAGCAGGCCAAAAGUAGAUAUCCAUUAUUUUCUAAUUAGAGGGUAAAGUUUCUCUUAUUACUGGGUACGGUUGAGAGGCCAUCAACUAAUAAAAUAAUAAAACAACGUUAUACAUAAGAAGAGUGAAUUUUAGCACAGUACAGCACUAGUCAGAUUUCCCAAAUUCUAGGUCAAACACUUGUCCUCAUUUUCUGAUGAGAAAACCUUGGCCGGCAGAAAGUAACUUAAGGCUGUAGAGUUUGUUGGUAAACCUGAACUUAUUUUUACUUACUUCAAGACCUCUUGGCCUUUUAUGAUUUUUGAAUAAUCAAAAACUUGUGAACUUCCAGCACAGAGAAGAUAGAGUAUAAUUUCACCACUCCUUCAGAGGGAAAAAAAUUAAUAAAACUUGGUCUUGCAAGACCAUAUAUCAAAUACAUUGAUCUCUUACCGGUAAUGUGACUGGAAUAGCAAAUUUGGUGAUCAGAAUUCUUGAGGGAAUGAACCUGUGUGUGUGAUCAGGCAUAGCUAUGUGAAAUAUAGAUAAUUAAAUUGCACUGAGUUAGAGUGGGUCAAAGUCAGGCAAGAAUUAUGUCCAAUUCACAUGCACACGUAUGUUUAUUGCGGCACUAUUCACGAUAGCAAAGACUUGGAACCAACCCAAAUGUCCAUCAAUGAUAGACUGGAUUAAGAAAAUGUGGCACAUAUACAUCAUGGAAUACUAUGCAGCCAUAAAAAAGGAUGAGUUCAUGUCCUUUAUAGGGACAUGGAUAAAGCUGGAAACCAUCAUUCUUAGCAAACUAUCGCAAGGACAGAAAACCAAACACCACAUGUUCUCACUCAUAGGUGGGAAUUGAACAAUGAGAACACUUGGACACAGGGUAAGGAACAUCACACACUGGGGCCUGUCAGGGAGUGGGGGUAGGGGGAGGGGUAGCAUUAGGAGAUAUAUCUAAUGUAAAUGAUGAGUUAACAGGUGCAGCACACCAACAUGGCACAUGUAUACAUAUGUAACAAACCUGCACGUUGUGCACAUGUACCCUAGAACUUAAAGUAUAAUAAAUAAAUAAAAAUAAAAAUAAAAAAGAAUUAUGUCCAAUUAUAUAUGGGAGAUAUAUACUGGGUUUUGUUUUUUUUUUUAGGAGGUGACAGACACAUUCUGGUUUCAAAUUGAACAGCAUGCAUUGAUCUUGAGCCGCAUCUGUGUGAUUCUGGGUCACUACUUUUGGCUUUUGAAUAGUUACGAUGAGUGCUUGCAAGAAAAAGGAAGCUAUCACUUAAAAGUAAAAAACAGUUGUUCACCUGAGAUGAAUAGAUUCCAUGUGGAUGGGCUUCUUGUAUAUUAAACUUAUGACAUUUUAUAUGUGUUGAUAUGUGAUUUUUUUAAAAAAAGUAUAGGCAGCUUUUCAGAUUCACAAAGAGGUACUUUAAGCUAAAAAAGGUUAAGACCAUCAGAAACGUAGACUGCAGGAACUGAGAAGGAUUUGUUAGAAUACUAUGUGAUAUAAUUAGUAUAAAAAUAGUAUAUAUUUUAUAGAGGGAUACACACAAAACUCCUGCUAAUGGUAACCUUUAGGGAGAGAAGAGAGGAUUUAGGGUAAAGGGGGAGAAGUAAAUGUCAAAGGGAACUUAAGCAUUAUAGGUCAUUUCUCUCCCUCUCUCUCUGUUUUUGUUUGUUUGUUUGUUUUUGUUUUUGUUUUUGUUUUGAGACAGAGUCUCACUCUGUCGCCCGGGCUGGAGUGCAGUGGUGCGCUCUCAGCUCACUGCAACCUCCGCUUCCCGGGUUCAAGUGAUUCUCCUGCCUCAGCCUCCCGAGUAGCUGGGAUUACAGGCGCCUGCCACUACGCCCAGCUAAUUUUUUGUAUUUUUAGUGGAGACAGGGUUUCACCAUUUUAGCCAGGCUGGUCUCGAACUCCUGACCUCGUGAUUUGCCCACCUUGGCCUCCCAAAGUGCUGGGAUGACAGACGUGAGCUACCGCGCCCGGCCUCUCUCUCUCUUUUAGCAAGGUAGCAUCACUCAUAUAUUUAAAAUUUAAUUUUAAAAUAUAAAAGUCAAUAGAGACGUUGGUUUUGGAGCAAGGAAGUGAGCCAAGGAACCUAAACUGUGGAAGCAGACAAAAUCCAGAAAAACUUACACCUUAGGAAGACUGCAGAGAGAAGGGAAUAGUAAGGCAACAAGUUUUCAUAGGCCUGAGGUGUCUUGUUUGUUUAUGAAAUGCCAGUUUCAUAUUUAUGUCCUUAUAACCCAUUUUGACCUUGCUGACCUUUAAGGAUUAGUUAUCUCUUCAGCCCAGUUACUGGAUUCAGCUCCGUUAUAGUGUCUGACCCUGGACAGCAUUGGUAAGUAUGUUCUCUUUCCUGGCACUGGAUUAUUUUCUUUGAGAGUCUUUGUUGAUGUUGGCAAAUGAUUUUGAACUUCUUCCAACAGAUUAGGUUUAUGCCAGUACGUAUGAGUCUAGCAUUUAAUCAGCAAUCCCAAAAAAGUAUCUGAGGCACUCUGAUAUAAUUACUUUUCCCUAAGUGUUUAUUUUGAAAAAUGUUAAAGCUACAGGAAAAUUAAAAGAAUAAUGAUUUGCACUGUGUAUCCUUUACUUAGAUUCACCAGUUUUUAACAUUUUGGACCAUUUGCUUAAUCUCUGUCUGCAUGUAUUUACAUAUUUUUGUUUAUUUUUUGUUCACCAUUUAUGGGUAAGCUGCAGAUAUUAUAUAUUUCACCAUUGAGGAUUUCAGCACGCAUCUCGAAGAACAAGGUUGUUCUCCUGCAUAACCUCGAUAUCAUGAAUAUACAUAUAAAUUUUAACAAUGAUUCAUAAUAUUAUCUAAUAUAUAGUCCACAUUUAAAUUGCCCUAGUGUUUCCCAAAUGUCUGAUAUGUGUAUUUAAAAUAUCCAUCCUGGUCCCAAUUAAGGUCACACAUUACAGUAGGUGGGCCUAUCUUUUUAAUUUCUUUAAUCUAGAACAGCAUUCCCCCAGCCUGUUUUUGUAUUUCAUGACAUUUUUUAAGAGUUGAAGGGUCCAGAAUAUUUGUCUUGUAGAAUGCCUAACAUUCUGGAUUUGUUUGAUUGCUCUGUCAUAAUUAGGUUAAGUUUAAAUAUAUUUGGCAAGAAAACUAUGAAUGCUGGUGUGUUCUUCCUAUUGCAUCAUAUUAAGUGACACAUAAUUUCAGUUUGAUCCAUUACCAAUGAUACUAAA